GCUUGUUUACUAGGUUUAAUAUAGAUGCACACUUAGAGAGAGACUACCCGUUUCCAGACUAUGUAGCGGUAAAAAGAGGUGCCUUGAGCAUUAUUUGUAUGACGAGCAGCAAGGAAGACGGAAAAUGUGGGACCAUGUAACUGUCUAGAAGAUGUCUUGAGCAUUGUAAGAUGCUCCAAGGCUACCAAUGCAAGUCCACGUGCAUCAUGCAGA